rnacentral:rRNA from 1 species
UGGGGAAUUUUGGACAAUGGGCGAAAGCCUGAUCCAGCAAUGCCGCGUGUGUGAAGAAGGCCUUCGGGUUGUAAAGCACUUUUGUCCGGAAAGAAAUCCUUGGCUCUAAUACAGUCGGGGGAUGACGGUACCGGAAGAAUAAGCACCGGCUAACUACGUGCCAGCAGCCGCGGUAAUACGUAGGGUGCAAGCGUUAAUCGGAAUUACUGGGCGUAAAGCGUGCGCAGGCGGUUUGCUAAGACCGAUGUGAAAUCCCCGGGCUCAACCUGGGAACUGCAUUGGUGACUGGCAGGCUAGAGUAUGGCAGAGGGGGGUAGAAUUCCAUGUGUAGCAGUGAAAUGCGUAGAGAUGUGGAGGAAUACCGAUGGCGAAGGCAGCCCCCUGGGCCAAUACUGACGCUCAUGCACGAAAGCGUGGGGGAGCAAACAGGAUUAGAUACCCCUGGUAGUCCACGCCCUAAACGAUGUCAACUAGUUGUUGGGGAUUCAUUUCCUUAGUAACGUAGCUAACGCGUGAAGUUGACCGCCUGGGGAGUACGGUCGCAAGAUUAAAACUCAAAUGAAUUGACGGGGUCAUAGCUGUUUCCU